GACGAACGCUGGCGGCGCGCUUAACACAUGCAAGUCGAGCGAGAACCAGGGCUUCGGCCCUGGGGACAGCGGCGAACGGGUGAGUAACACGUGGGUAAUCAACCCUCGGCACCGGAAUAGCCCGGGGAAACCCGGAUUAAUGCCGGAUGGCCCGCCGGCCUUACGAGGCUGGUGGAAAAGGUAGCUUCGGCCUCCGGCCGGGGAC
rnacentral:rRNA from 1 species